rnacentral:rRNA from 1 species
UACGAAGGGGGCGAGCGUUGUUCGGAUUUACUGGGCGUAAAGGGCGCGCAGGCGGCUUUGUUUGUCAGGCGUGAAAGCCCCGGGCUUAACCUGGGAACUGCGUUUGAUACGGCAGGGCUAGAGUUCGGGAGAGGAGAGUGGAAUUCCCAGUGUAGAGGUGAAAUUCGUAGAUAUCGAGAGGAACACCGGUGGCGAAGGCGGCCUUCUGGACAGCAACUGACGCUGAGACGCGAAAGCGUGGGGAGCAAACAGG